GACGAACGCUGGCGGCGCGCCUAACACAUGCAAGUCGAACGGUGAAGAGGAGCUUGCUCCUCGGGACAGUGGCGGACGGGUGUGUAACACGUGAGCAAACCGGCUCCAUGAGGGGGACAACAGUUGAGAACGACGGCUAAAACAGCAUAACGUAUCGGGUUCGCAUCUUCCUGAUACCAAAGAUUUUAUCGCUUAGGGAUGGGCUCGCGUCUGAUUAGAUGGUUGGCGGGGUAACGGCACACCAAGUCGACGACCAGUAGCCGGGCUGAGAGGUUGAACGGCCAGAAUUGAGCUGCGGCACGGACCACACCGCGACGGGGGGGAGCAGUGUGGUGUAUUGGGGGAGGGGGGCAGACCUGAUCCCGCCGCGCGGCGGGAGGGAAGAAGGUUUUCGGAUUGUAAUCCUCUGUUGACGGAGAAAAGAAUGAUGGUAUCCGUUUAGAAAGCCACGGCUAACUACGUG
rnacentral:rRNA from 1 species